UACGUAGGGUGCAAGCGUUAAUCGGAAUUACUGGGCGUAAAGCGUGCGCAGGCGGUUUUGUAAGUCUGUCGUGAAAGCCCCGGGCUCAACCUGGGAAUUGCGAUGGAGACUGCAAGGCUUGAAUCUGGCAGAGGGGGGUAGAAUUCCACGUGUAGCAGUGAAAUGCGUAGAGAUGUAGAGGAACACCGAUGGCGAAGGCAGCCCCCUGGGUCAAGAUUGACGCUCAUGCACGAAAGCGUGGGGAGCAAACAGG
rnacentral:rRNA from 1 species